rnacentral:lncRNA from 1 species
GAAACCAUAAAUACUUAUGUUUCUCUCUUCCCUCAUCCGUGACCUUCCCCACCACAACCAUUUCCGCCUCAUUCACCACCAUCAUACACCUAACGCCGCUCAUUGUUCCCAUCACCACCCCACAUUUCCUCUCAAAACCCUAGAUGUCGUCGUCCCACCGCAACUCUGUUUUGUACGACAAUCGCAUCCACCAUCCAUAAGCCCUAAUGUUGGUGCACCGACCAUUCCCAAUAACUUGCGCCUGCCCCAAUGUUACCUGUUACAAAAUCGUGAAUCCCAGCUACUACAACCAAACACCGUCUCCGAACAUCCUCCACUCUUUAUCUUUGUCUCUAUCUAAAAACCACCGCACCACCACCAUUGUCGAACAUCCACUUUGUAUCUACUCAGUUUGAAUCUCUUUACCGGAAGCAAAAUAAGGUACCAAAAAAUUUGGUUUGGCUAAUAGGGGGAUUUAGGGCGCCGAUAGUUUCCAGUGUCCCAACUUUUGCAAAGGUAGAGGCGGAAUGGUGGGGAUUGGGGUUUCGUUGUACAACCACUUGGUCUGAUAUGGUGCCUCCUAUUAAUAUGUGGAAUCCUUCGUCAGGUAUUUAUAUGUUCUAAACACUAUUCUCUCCUGUAAUCAUAUGUUCUUUUAUACACAACUACCACCUCCACCACUCAACUUACAAUGGUUUGCAGCCACCACCUUCACUACUCUCCGCAACAAAAGCAGCCCUGGAAGCAAGCACUAAAACUCGGUUAAGAGGAGAAUUAGAUCAUGUUCGUGUUUCCCUUUCCAUUUCCUUUAUCCAUUGUACAUAAAAACCCUUAUUUUUUUUUUUGUUUUUUGUUGAAGGUAUUAUUUUAGUAUGAUGCUCAUGGCUUUUUCUAGGUUUACAGGUGCAUCUUUCUUAUUUUUAGUUGAAAGGGUAUACACAAUCAAAUUAUGAAAGGUACCAUGUGGAACCUGGAAGUUUCUGAAAUGUAGAAAUGGAGAUUAGGAAAGACUACCCAAAGCCUUGAUUAUCACAAGGAAGGAAGGUUAGAUUGGUCUUUUCCCAUAAUUAUUUUAUCAUAUAUUUUAAUUUUAAAACACAUAAAUGAUAAGUUUUUACCUGUUGAUGAGGAUCAUUGCAGGUUACGGGAUGUUAAAGAGAGUGUACAUGCAAGAAAACUUAAAAGGACAUAACAAGGUUUGCUUUUUUCCAUAAGGACAUAAUAAGGUUUGCUUAGUUUCAUCAAUAUGUUUUUAUUGUGACAAGCAACUAAACCGGGCUGAUUUAAAAAUUCUUGUAGUCCAUUUCCUCAUUGAGAUGUUCAUGUUUUUUGUUUUUUAUUUGCCUUGCAUUAUCAUUCUAGCCCUUACCUUUUAUGUCCAUGUUUAGUUGAGUACAUUUAAGAAAAGUUUUGAUGAAAAUAAUGAGAUGAAUUCAAAUCUUAUAAAGCAAAAUUGUUAGGUUUUACACCUUAUUUUGUUGGUCUUCCAUUGCUUUCUUCUUUUCCACUUUCAAUAUUCCUAAUUUUUAUAUCCGAUUCAAUUAGGUAGAGAUGGAAGUAACCAAAAGUUCUUGAAUACAAUUCUUUUUUAAUUGAAUUUGUUUUUUUUUUUUCGUUUUUUUUGUAAGAUUUAGGGUCAGUUUGCAUAACAUUCUCUCAGUGAUGAACACUAUAAGUAGGUCUCCUUCCCCCAUUGUAUGUUUUCUGAAUAAUACAUAAUAAUCUUCGUAAUCCACCUAUCGUUCCCCUUUUUUUUACUUAUGUUUUUUGAUUGCUUCUCUUUUGAUUUGGUGAUGUCAGACCUCUGGAACCUGGAUUCAAAUGGUAUGUGAAACCAAUUCUAGAUUUUCACCCCUCAAAGUUUCAACUUUUUUGCUUAUAAUAUUUGAAAUGUUGCAAAAAGAGGUUCAAAAUAAAUGAGCUUGAAGUUUUAGUUAGGUACAUUUUCAUACAAAAUGUUGCAACUUUACUUUUAAUAAUAGUUACUUUAAUUUUUACCUACAAUAGAAAAAUACUUAUAUUUUUUUACACUGCAAUACACUCAUUAUGUUCAUCAGUUGAUGUGCAUUUGUCACAUUUGUUUCUUUAUACAUUGCAGGGAAUCACUUUCGAGCAUCGAUGAAGAUGUAUAGAUCGAUAUGCAUUGUUUCUUUCAUGGGGGUUGCAGGGGAUAUUUUAAAUUUGUGAAGUAUAAAUGUUAAAGCGGCAACACCUUUGCAUUUGGCUGCAAGUGAAAUACGUAUUGAAUGUAUUCAUUUACAUCAAGAGAAAUGUGUUGAGAAAAGAAACAAAAAAGUAAUAUCAAAUACUCCAUUGUGGGAUUUGUGUGAAAACUAUAUUGUUAGAGAUUAACAAAAUAACAUAAUCCAAAUAAAAUGUGCUAUUUGUUUUACUUAACUGGUAAUUCUUGUAUCAAGCAAUAAGUCGUUCUAUUUGUUUUAUUUAAUUUGUAGUUGUUUUACACCAAUUUCAAAAGACUUCAUGCCUAAUGGAAUGCCCUGCCUCGUGAAAUAUCACCAUGUAUAUUGUGAUGGUUUAAAUUUUACUAUGUUCAUACAAAAAUUUUUAAAACCAUACAUAAUAUUUGAGAAAGGCGUAUUAAAUAAUAUUGACAUUAUUACGACAAUAAAUAUAUAGAGCAAUAUCAAACUAAAUAAUACUAAAUUCACAUAAAACCAUGAAACCUUUAAUUAUCUCUUUAUUAAACCUGAUUAUUUCAUCAAAUAGACUUUUAAA